GUCACUUUUCAGACUUUUGGGUAAGAUCAAGUGUAGUGUUCUUAUCAGUUUAGUAUCUGAUAUGGCCUCUAUUUGAGGACACAAUACUAACUGGAUUUUUGGAGCCAGGAGAUGGAACGGGAACUUGCUCCAUCUAGUCCAUGUAUGGUCCAAACAAUUUUU
rnacentral:snRNA from 1 species